UACGGGGGGGGUAAGCGUUGUUCGGAAUUACUGGGCGUAAAGGGCUCGUAGGCGGCCAACUAAGUCGGACGUGAAAUCCCUCAGCUUAACUGGGGAACUGCGUCCGAUACUGGAUGGCUUGGAUUUGGGAGAGGGAUGCGGAAUUCCAGGUGUAGCGGUGAAAUGCGUAGAUAUCUGGAGGGACACCGGUGGCGAAGGCGGCAUCCUGGACCAAUAUUGACGCUGAGGAGCGAAAGCUAGGGGAGCAAACGGG
rnacentral:rRNA from 1 species